rnacentral:rRNA from 1 species
AUUGAACGCUGGCGGCAUGCCUUACACAUGCAAGUCGAACGGCAGCACGGGAGCAAUCCUGGUGGCGAGUGGCGAACGGGUGAGUAAUAUAUCGGAACGUGCCCGGUCGUGGGGGAUAACGUAGCGAAAGCUACGCUAAUACCGCAUACGAUCUACGGAUGAAAGCGGGGGAUCGCAAGACCUCGCGCGAUUGGAGCGGCCGAUAUCAGAUUAGGUAGUUGGUGGGGUAAAGGCUCACCAAGCCAACGAUCUGUAGCUGGUCUGAGAGGACGACCAGCCACACUGGAACUGAGACACGGUCCAGACUCCUACGGGAGGCAGCAGUGGGGGAAUUUUGGACAAUGGACGCAAGUCUGAUCCAGCCAUUCCGCGUGCAGGAUGAAGGCCCUCGGGUUGUAAACUGCUUUUGUACGGAACGAAAGGUUUCUAUUAAUACUAGGAGCUCAUGACGGUACCGUAAGAAUAAGCACCGGCUAACUACGUGCCAGCAGCCG